CACGUGAUUAUUCAACCGGAGACGCGCGUUGGGUAUUUACAGAUUUUCUCCUCAGACAAGUGUUUCUGUUUUGUGGUCGAUUCUGGAUCCUUUUCUUGGUGUGUCUUGAUGUUUUCUAUUGGCUAAAGAAAUGUCUCUGUGAAACUGACAAUCUCAGGUAGGAGCUGCUGGUUUGUGGUUGGCAGUAUGGAUCACAGUCUGCGACUCAUGAGGAGCUGGGCUGGAGACAUGAAGAGGUUGUCAACAGGAAUCAUGGGUUCCUUGGUAUUUGAAUUAUGUUGAACCAGGCAAGUACUCCAUCUUUCGAUCAUGUGUUCUAUCUGCUUACACAUUUCUAGCCAGAAUAACAUUUCGUGCUCUUAGCUUAGACUUCUCAGCGUGUGCGCAUAUCUCAGGUCAGAUAUGACUAUUUUCUUAUCUUCACUGGUCAAUGAAAGUUUGUCUUAAAAGUCAAUAAUGUAUGUGGCAAAUUGUCUCCUAUUUGCAUGCCAUCCAUCCAAGAUCAUCUAUCUGAGCUGCUGAAAACUGCCUCGGUACGGAUCUGUUGGAGCUUUGUGUCACUGACUGUAUUUCUGCAAAUUCCUGUUCCGUGUCACAUGGCUUAUGCAAGACUGAAUCCAUAAAGGGGAUGGUCUGUGGAGACUGUGGGCGAUUCCUUCUGCUGUCAUUUAAACAUGAGCAGGAGUAAUGACGGGAUUUAAAUGGACGCAGCUAAUAUUAUGCCAGAGUCCGCUGCUUAUGCUGUAACCAUAAAGCAACCAGGACAACACACCUGGAGUGACCGAGAGCAUGAUGAAGAAAGAAUCGGACGAGAAAAUAUCAACUGGUGCCCAUGAUGAGACAUGUUGUUCUUGGACCUGCUUUUUCUGUUUAGUAAUAAGUGGUUUUAUGUGGUUACAUAAAAGUAAUUUAAUAUUCAAUCCACAAGCUAAAUUUCCUACAUUUUCUUAAAAGGGUAGUUGACCCAAAAAUGAAAAUUCUGUCAUUUACACAAACAGUUUGGUUACAAACAUUUCUCACAAUAUCUGCCUUCCUGUUUAUCAGAACAAAGAAAUUUAUGUGGGUUUGUAACAACAUGAGAGUGUGUAAAUGAUGACAUAAUUUUCAUUUUUGGGUGAAGUACCCCUUUAACAUUUUUAUACCCAGGGGUAGGGGUGUGCAGCGGAGUCAGUAUUUGUAUCUGUAACAGUCUCAAAAUUAUUUGUAUCUGUAUUUGUAUUAUAACUUAAAUAACUGUAAAUAUUUAUUAUUAAAUUAAAUUAUUAAAAAUAAUAAUACAAAAUUUUAAUCAAAAAGACAAAUAACUUGAUUCUCGUUAGUAAUACUCAUGGAAAGCAAACAACUCAUUUUUAAAGCCUCAUACAGCUUGUGCUAUGCAUCAUUGUAUUGUAGCAUUAAAAUAACAAACUUGAAAGCACGUUGACAAAACUGUAGGCUAGAUCACCCUUAAAUGUUUAUUGUGCCUGUCAGCACAAUUCCAUGAGACCCAUUCUUUCUAAAUGAGUGCGAUGUUUUCAGAAAAAAAUAAGUAGCCUACAUUAAUCCCUAGUCUAGCGAUUUAAAAAUAGUAAUUAAACAUCUAAAAUGAUCGUUAUUUGUAAGUUUUCUAAAAGAGUGAAAUAUAACCUAAUACUACUCAUAUAUCCAUGUCUGACAUCUUGGUUUCAGUUUAAAAACAUGCAGGAAUUUGAAAAUAAAAUGCAGGACUUGCUUGAUGCUUAAAGAGUUAUUAAAAAGUUCGGGAACUGAUUUAUGUUAAAAAGUUAUUAAGAUCGACAAACUCGCGCUGACUGACAGAUCCGAAAUGCAACGCAGGGACACGCAAGUGGCGCAGUAUAUGCACAGAAUAGUUCAAAAACAUCUGUUUUGAUAAGAAUUUACGAAAGCAUAAUAAGCAUUAGAACAAACUUGCUGAACUCAUUUUUAUCUAUGUCCAUAUAGCGUUUGCGCGAAUAUAACGAAUUGUUUUAAAAAAAACUUUCUUAUUAAUCUUCAUCUAAAUAAAUAAAUAAUCAGAUAUUUGUUCAAAUUUUUAAAUAACAGUAUGCUCUAUUAAAAAUCAGUUUUGACUUAUUUCAAAACCAGCAACAUGAUUUAAAACAAUAAUGUAAUUAGAAAUAUUUAAUUCAAAUGUUUCAGUUGUUAUUUGCUUACUUUAUUUUUAUGUUAAUUGCAAUUCAUGUCAUAGUAUUCUUCAGUUUAAAUUUUGCUUUUAAAAUGUUACAUUUUCAUAUUUUUAUCUAUUUACUUAUUUAUUUUAUAUUCACCUAGAUUGACAAUAAAGCUUGCUUCGACUAGAAGUAAUUAAAAUAUCAUCUACCGGUGCCACAGAGAUACAGAGUUAUUAACGAAUAUUUUAUUAUCAGAGUGCAGCAUUUUAUCAAGGUUUUCUGGUCUAAUUAAAUAAAACGGAAUUU